AUAAAUUAGAUGCAUGAAAGAUAGAAUCCACGCUUUAUAAUUAAUUAUAUUUAAUUAUUAUAAUUAUUAUAAAGGCACAACAUCUAUCAUUUGAAUUUCUUUGAUACAGAUUUCAUACUCCAGUCGUCUAUAAGUCCAGUGCUGAUCGCACAACACAAAUGCUUGUCAAAGCAAGAAUCGCUAAUAAAAAGAUAUAAAGGGAGAGAGACGUGUCUCGUCUAUCGAUGAAAAAUUCACGAUUUAAUUUAAUCUGGAUAUAUAUCUGUUUGAGGGAUGACCAUAUGUCGCUGACAGCUUGGAUGAGCGAAGCUGGUUGGGAAACAGCAGGAUGUGGGCGAUGCAUGGAACCGUUUCGUCCUGUUCCGGAAUUAUGGAAAAAUGGGUCUUUCGAAAGGCUCGCGGGAUUUUCCGGCAAGUAGCCUGGUCGUUCCUGAAAAUCACAUCUAUUUUCCUUUUUCAAGCGGCCAUCCACUUUGUCCCGAUAUAUCGAACGAUUUCGUUUUACAUGGCGACGCUUUAACUUUUCACAUUUUACACGUCGAUUGUUUAUUCUAUUAAUUAAAUUCGCAAAUGUGAUCUUUUCCCGUUUUAUCUUUUCUGAUCCAAAUUCAAAUUUAAAAUUUUAGUCUUU
rnacentral:misc_RNA from 1 species